rnacentral:misc_RNA from 1 species
GAAGUAAAGUCGUAACAGGUUUCCGUAGGUGAACCUGCGGAAGGAUCAUUAAUAAAUGGUCUACGUUUUUUAAGUAGACGCUUAAUAAUCCUACCUUUGUGGAUUUGUGUUUUGAAAUAAUUUUUUUUAAAAUUAUUGAUUGUCUUCCCUGCUGAAUUGGUGUCUUAAUGGCAAAUGUUCGCAGGGAGUGUCAGUAAUUUUUAAAAAAGACCUUUUUAAAAUUAAACUUUUUGUAUUCAUUUGUCUAAAAAUUAUUUUUAUAAUAUAAAACAACUUUUGACAAUGGAUCUCUUGGUUCUCGCAACGAUGAAGAACGCAGCAAAUGCGAUAAAGUAGUGUGAAUUGCAGAAUACGUGAAUCAUCGAAUCUUCGAACGCAUAUUGCACUUUUUUAGUUUACUAAAAAAGUAUGUCUGUUUGAGUAUCAGUAAAAUAUUCUCAUAAAAACUUUUUGUUUUUAUGGUUAUGAUGUUUACAACGAUACAAGUUGUUUCACUUUAAUUUUUUUAAAAUUGAAUUUUCUAAUUUUAAAAUAAAAUUGGAUAAAAUUUCCCGUAAAAAAGGAAUAACCUAAACAUUUUAAUUUUGAUUAGAAUUCUUCAAUUAUAAAGGAAAAUUUAACUAAAUAACUUGAUCUCAAAUCAGAUAAGAGUACCCGCUGAACUUAAGCAUAUCAUAAGCGGAGGAAAAGAACUAACAAGGAUUCCCUUAGUAACGGCGAGUGAAGCGGGAAGAGCUCAAAUUUGAAAUCUUCAAGGUUUUACCUUGACGAAUUGUAGUUUAAAGAAGUGUUUUCUGUUGAAAGUUUUGGUAAAAGUUCUUUGGAAUAGGACAUCAUAGAGGGUGAGAAUCCGUAUUUGACCAUUAUUUUCAGCUGUGUGAUACACUUUCAAAGAGUCGGAUUGUUUGGGAAUGCAGUCCAAAAUGGUGGUAAAUUUCAUCUAAAGCUAAAUAUUGGCGAGAGACCGAUAGCGAACAAGUACCGUGAGGGAAGAUGAAAAGGACUUUGAAAAGAGAGUUAAACAGUACGUGAAAUUGUCAAAAGGGAAGCGUUGACACCAGUGCUGUUUCUCGAAAAUCAAUUAAAAAAGUUGGAUUUGUGUUGUAUUGACCUUAACAGCUUGCUUCACUCUUUUCUUGCUUUUUUUUAAUGCACUUUUCGUUAACAAGUCAACAUCAGUUUCUUUUGUUGUAAAAGGGUCAUUGGAAGGUGGCUUUCUCUUCGGAGAAAGUGUUUAUAGCCUUUGAUCUCUGCAAUCGGAGAGACUGAGGUCUGCAGCGUAGAUCCUUCGGGUUAGAUACAUUUGUGCUAAGCUACAGCUCUUCAUAGACAACUUGUUGACUAUGUUUAGUCUUGUAACUUACCGCUUAUGCUAUUUACCUACGCUUAGGAUGUUGAG